GUCCCUGCCUGCAGCUGUGGCACGGCAAUGACCUACAGCCCGUGCUCCUCCCAUUGAUGUGGGUGCACGCAGACUUUGCAGGGUCCAAGCUCUGCAUUUUAGUACUCAUUUUGAAUGAGUUUUCUUUAAAUCACGUUUAUUUUCGAUGUUGGCUUUCUCGGGACCGCAUUCAGGAUCUGAGCUUUCUGCAUCAGAAUCCAAGACAACUCCUCAUUUUGUUGAAGAAUUGUCCAGAAAUGAAGAAGACUUUCCUGUCAGAGGGAGAUUUCUCUGCCAUGGAUCUCAUCUGGGUUCUGGAAACUACUGUUCCCCUGAGAAAAUGAAGGGAAUAUGGACCUCUCCAGGAGUCAAAUUUCUGUCUUUUGCAUACCUGCACUGAUUGGGCUUCCAAGGUGGGAGAUUUCUUACCUUCUCCUUUGGAUAGUAACAGCAGAGCAUUUGUUUGGUCCACCUUGCCCAGGGAGGAGGCUACCAUCAGCACUAGUGGGCAUGCAGGUUCAGAGAGAUGGGCAGGAUCUGCAUGAGCCUUGAACCAAGACUGCUGAACACGUCAGUAGGUGUUUUGCUUGACUUUACACUCCAUGUUUGGGCAUGUUUGAAAGCAGGCAAGGCAGUUGACUGAAUGCAUUCAGAUCUCCAGCCCAGAGGAGAUGACAAUUUAAUUUUGAAUCACAGAAUCACAGAGUAACACAGAAUCACAGAACUGCAGCGGUUGGAAGGGACCUCAUGAAAACGAAUCCAGCUCCCCUGCUAAAGCAGGUACCCUACAGCACGUUGCAUAGGUAGGUGUCCAGAUGGAUCUUGAAUAUUCCCAUAGAAAGAGACCCCACAACCUCUCUGAGCAGCCUGUUCCCCUUACUGUAAAGAAGUUCUUCUGCAAGUUGGUACAGAACUUCCUAUGUUCAAGUUUUAGGUAAUUGUUCCUUGUCCUGUUGUUACACACCACUGAGAAUAGACUGACCCCAUCCAUUUGCCUUUGACCUCCCUUUAGAUAUUUAUAAACAUUUAUCAGAUCUCUCCUCAGUCAUUUCACCAGGUGAACAGACCCAGGUUACUCAGACUUUCCUCAUAUGUGAGAUGGUCCAAGUCCUUUACCAUCUUUGUGGCCCUCCACCAGUCUCCUUCUAGGAGAUCCCUGUGUUUUUUGAACUGAGGAGCCCAGAACUGGACACAGUACUCCAGAUGUGGCAUCAUCAGGGCAGAGUAGAGGGGGAGGAUCACUUCUGUUGACCUGCUGGCCAUGCUGAUGACCAGCAGGAUGAGCUAAAAAAAAUAGGAGAUGAGGUUGCCCAUAGAUGCAACCCUCUUGGAGCUUCUCUAAAACAAGCCCAUCUGUUUGCUCAUAUUUACCCUGUCUGGAUGAUGCCACAGACUUUUUUGCAGCUAGCAUUUCCCAGUGUUGUUGAAUUCAGGGUGGAAAUAGUGGUGAAAACAUUUUCCUGGGACUCUUCCUCCCCUCUGAACUGAAAUGGAGCCCACCCCUGGCAAGAGAUGGGCAGGUGGAAGACAGCGUAAGUGUUGUGUGGAAAGGGACACUGACCUGCUCUGUCGCCUCUGAUGAAUUACUUCCACAAAGCAGCAACGUGGUUAUCUUUAACAAGAACUUUGUCCAGCACAGCGAGGCUUUCCUUCAGCUUCGCCACUGUGGAAUACUCUCAUAACUUUAAUUCAUAUCAGGGGUCGAUUGUGAGUUUAAAUAUAUGCAAUGCACUUUUAAGUCUUGUGCAAACAAAGACCAGACAGGGACUGGGACAAACUGAUGCAUGAGCAACCAUGUUGUUCCUUCUCCAGUCCAAGAACUGGAUUCUUUCACAAAAUCCUCUGUGUGGCAGUGAUAACAAGACAAAUAUUUGACAUAGCUGUAAGAUAACACUCUGACACGCUAGUAAACACAAGUGAAUUAGUGGUUAUGAGAGAGACCCCAUGACACAGUUGCUUGCAGUAAGUUGGAUGCCAUCUCUUAGAAGACUUCUUGCAACCUGUUCUUAUCGGUUUUUGGUACAGAUUAAUGGGGAGACUUCCAGUAGGAUUUGGGUUACUGUCUGGCAUAGACACUUUUGAAAAUCUUACCUUAUCUCUAUGUAAUGACUAUGUAAUUCAUGCAGUGUGUUGAAGGUACACUUGAAAAAGUAGGUCUGGAUCGUAAUAUCCCUCCCUGCAUCCUUCUUUCCCAUCAGGCCAAAAUGGCACACCUCUGUGUGUGCUGGAUUACAAUUUAUGCUGAAAAUGUUCCACAAAGGUCAUAGCAGCUAUCUGAGGAACAAGCAGAGCUGUGCACCCUGCCCUGUGCUCAUGUAGAUUACCAGAGGUAGCAAUAAGGCCAGGGACUGUGUGCAGUAAGGAAAACUAGAGAAACUUGGAAACUGCGCAGGCUUUAGAUUGUAGAGUGUUACGAAGGGCUCAGAUGGGAGAGUUUACCAGAAGAAGUGCAAUUUAGAAAUUGAAACAGAUGGAAUUUCAGUAUCCUUUGCAAAUUGGCGUAUCAGACUCCUACAAUAGCUUGCAGAAUCCUUGUCCCUCCCAGUGCAUAGCUGGUUCUUACUCCCUGAACUUGAUUUGUUAACAUCUGAUGUCGAAGGGUCUGUUUCUUAUUUUUGUUGAGUUAUACCUUAAAUGUGUCCUUUUUGGCUACUUAUGUUCUCAUUUCUGCAAAGCGGCAGCCAAGCAGGGGCCCAAGAGCUCAUUCCUGGCCUUCAGAUUUAUUCCCAUCGCUUUGAUGGGUUGAGUCUGGUGCUGCCUGUAUUGCAGAGCACCUGGAUGGGGCGAUCACAGGCAUUCACUGGCACUGUGAUCUCAGCUGUGGAAACAAUUUUGCUGGCAGCAGAAGCUCAGUUUCACUGGGGAGGGGCCCAUAUUUCUUGUUUGAAGUGUGUGAAGCCUCAUCACAGUUCUGUUAUCAGACCCACUGGAAUUUUUUCCUUUCCUCUCUUCUUGGUCCACCUUCUCUCAUUCCUCUAAAUCUUACUUUACUUCUGCUUCUUCUCAAAGUCUCUAAUGUUACUUUUCUGGCUCUUUUUUUCUGUAAUCUCUCCCUUCAUUUUUUCUUCACCCAUUAGCUCUUCCUUCACGAUGCUCCUCUACUGCCUCCUCCAUUUUCUCUGCCUCUCUUGUUCACUUUCCAGGUGCCUCUCAUUCUUCUCCCCAUGUCCUCACUUUCAUUUCUUCUCCAGAAGCUCUCUGAAUUGCUGCAGCUAUGGGGUAUACCCCUUGGAAAGAUAGCCCUGUCUGAGUUAGAGGUGCUGUGAGCUGCAGAUCUGUUGCUGAUGUUAGUAUUUUUUUUGACAAGUGACACAGGUGACACAAGUGACACAGGGGGCCCAUGGAGCCAAGUAGCGUAGCUGGGCAGUAGAAGGCAGCUUAUGCCACAAAAGACAUCACUUGCUCCAUGGACCAAAAGAGAUUACAGCCCCAUUCCGACACAUAAACCAUUGAGGUUUACUGAAAAUAAGGAUUGAUUUGCUGGGCUAUUUAGAGGCAUUAAGAUGCAGAUAUAUAUUUUCUCCCCAGUCUGAUGUCAUUUUGCAUGUUAACUGCCUAAUUCCUUUUAGCCUAUUGAUUUUACUGGUUUAUAAGAAUGACACUUGUGUAGAAACUGUGGAGAACUUUGCUCAGGGUGACCAGUGAAGACUGUCAGUUUCUCUCAGUCGUCUUAUGGGGGGACUGAAGGCUCAGCACAGUUUAAGAGGAGAAAAAAUAGGGAGAGAAAGAACAAUGGCACUUCAUAGACCAUACUCCUUAGGUUGUAUCUGACUCUGGCUAAAUGACCUGGACUGAAAAAUGUUUUCCUGAGGCUCAGCUCAGCUGACAUCUGCAGCAUGGUCCUCAUAUUUUGUGAUAGUCGAGAGUGGUAUUCAUGAAAUUCUGUGUCAACUUCUUUAGCAUAUUAAGAUUGAAGAAUGCUAUGAAGUAAGCAUGAAUAUCAUUAUUCAAUUUCUCUUCCUUCUAGUAACUCUGAUUUACUUCAGAUUUUACGUGAUCUCCCAAUUAUCAGAGUUUGAUGUGCCACAGGUGUUUCUAUAAGCAUACUGUUGUAUUGCUUUUCGUUCCUUGGAGAACAGUUGAUGCUUUGCCAAUGUCUGAAUGGACCUGCUAACUCUGAGAGCAAAGAAGUGGUUAAUUUGAUAAUAUUUAACUUGCUAAACCAUUCAUAUGCAGAGGUAACGUGCUCAGGAGUUGAACAGGGCAGUGCGAUCUCCCUUAGCUAUCAUUUCAGGAUGCCUGCAGAAUCAGGAAGGCCGUGUAUCAGCUUACACUCAACUUGGUAAUCUUGCAUGGGGCCUGUUUGUGUCUCUUGUGCUGAAGGCUGAAUGUAAAAUGAACAUUGUUAGCCAAGAAAGCAAAUAAAGGGAACUAUUUCCCAAGGCAUUUUACUCUGUUUAUUUAACGCCUCUGAACAAACCCCUUUCCACAUCCUCUGAACCUACUGGCAACUUCAGAUAGCUCCAUUUCCUGCUGGGUGAGUUUUUUCUAAAAUGUUUAUUCAGCUCCAGGAAAUGAUGAUUUCCUGAAUAUUCUGAAACUUCAUAUUUUUGUUGUAUCCCUGUUUAUUUAAUAGUCUUACUUAUUGUGUGAGUGUGCAAAGCACAACAACAUCCCUUGCCAUGUAACUGUGGAAGGAGUGGAACUUGAUGUAGUACAUCAAAAACCAGUUUAAGUGAAACUAGAUCUGUUUUUGCCAAUUUAUACACUAGUGUAUUUCCAUUAGCUUGAGUAGUUACUCCUUAUUUACACUGACCUUAAUGAGUUCAGAAGUAGGCUUUUAAAUUUCUCCUACUCCUUAAGAAAAAGUGCCUAAAAAUUCAAACUAGUGAAGGAGAAUUAAUUAGCCCAAAGCUCAACAUUUUAUAAUUCACAGCUUACAUUAAUGUCUGCUAGUUUUCUUUAUGCAGGAAACCAAUAGAAGGCACCAAAUGUUUUCGUCGCCCUCCGCUGGGACUAAAAUUGAGAAAUUCUUAUUUUGUGAGGUCAAAGCUAACCUGUAUCCAGCACCCCAUCCCAACAUGGGUUUCACUAAAGAGAUUGAAACCUGUACACAGCCUUAAUGAAAAGGCCAUAAUAUUUUAUGUGAACCAGGAGUAACUAUGCUGAAAUGAGAAGUGCUUCACUAAGGUAAAUCAAGUGGGAUUGGUCCCAAAAGAAAUUCAGGAAUUACAUAGCUUUGCCAUUAACCUUGAACUGAGCCAAGUGUGUCUUCCAUGCUUUCUCCUUCUUUCUUGUCUACUUUUUGUUAACCUGCAUGGUCAGCUAUGACUUUUUUUUUUUUUUUCUUUUCUUUUUACAGGCAGAAAAGGUAAUUUAUGUUUCUUCUGAGCCUCAAGAGACAAUAUGGGCAUGCUGCGUUACCAUGCCCUAAAUGAAAUCUUAGAGUACCUAAGUAAAACUCACUCCACCCUUACCUGGAAGUUCCACUCAUGGAAACCACAUCCUUUCAUUGCCACCCACGUCUCCAUUUGGAAAGGACUUUGAAGGAGGAAGACUGAAGAUUAGAUCAUUCUUUUAUUAAGCAUCCUUUUGUCUGUUUUGCUCCAGAAACCAUGCUCUUCCUCUCCUAUGAGUCAUUUGUUGUUACUCUUACAAUUUCUGUGGUAGGAAGGCUGGGUGCUUUCCCCCAAUUUAAAAUGUUCUUUUUAGAGUUUCUCUUCUCUUCUCUUCUCUUCUCUUCUCUUCUCUUCUCUUCUCUUCUCUUCUCUUCUCUUCUCUUCUCUUCUCUUCUCUUCUCUUCUCUUCUCUUCUCUUCUCUUCUCUUCUCUUCUCUUUUUUUUUCUUCUCUUUUUUUCUUCCCUUUCCUUCCCUUCCCUUCCACUCCCUUCCCUUCUCCUUUUCCUCUCCUCUCCCUUUCUUCUCCCCUCCCCUCCCCUCUCCUCCCUUCCUUCCUUCCAUGUCCCUUCUUUGUUUUUUGUUAUGCAUUUCAUAUUCAUUCACUAUUUUUACCCAAUUCAGACAGAGCCAUGCUACAUUGUGGACUGUUGCCAAAAAUUCUGCCAGUGACAAAGAUUGAAGCCUUCAUACGAACUGGAAGGAGUCUGUUCUUGGUCCACCCCAUGUGAAGCAACACUGUGCCCAUGCAUCUCUAUCUGAGAUGAAUAUUCUUUCUUUUGAUGCCAAGUAUUUGAUGUCCACCUACUGAGCUGAGUAAUCUCUGAGGAUGCCAUUGUUGCCAUGUUACCUCCUUCCUGAGUUCCUGUUGUGUAACUUUCCCACCAAUGUCUAUACUGGAUGGUGAAAAGAAGAAUGAAGACGAGACAGCCAGUGCUGUCAGCUUUUCUUCCACCUGAUUCAGGCUUUGGCCAUGCCCUGUAUCUGCUCCAGAAAGCCAAGGCUUCAGAUGAAGGAUGGAAGAAGGAAAGCAGGAGGCUGGGAAAUGAUUUUGGUCAUGUCCACGCUGGCAGGGCCUGAAUCUUGAUAUGUUUGCUAUAUGAUACUACCACAAUUCCUUAAGGAGUAACAUGAUAGUUUUCUGCAGAGGAAUGUUUUCUGAACAUGGCCAAAAUAUGGCAUUUGGAAAAGUGAGCUGCACAUCAUUUCUCCAAAUGAGAAUGCAAAUAGCGGAGAAUGCAAAUAGCUGGCCUUUUAAAGCCUCCCUGAAAAUUUCAUAGACAACUCAGAUCAAUAUGAUUUAAAGGACUUCUCUCCUGACAACACUAACCCUAUGGAUAGUCCCCCCCAUGCUGUCUGUGAUCAUCCUACCAGGCCCUGCUGCCAGCAUGAAAAAUACAAUAUCAAGUUUGAGGAAAUCUGUGGCAGAAAAUAACGCCAACUUUUGCAUGUACUACUGAGUAACUGGACUCCAAAAGUGAAACAGAGAGAGUGACAAGUAAUGAUGGACAAGAAAAGGCUCAUCCCUUAGACACAAAGCAAGCUCCAAGAUCUGCUCUUCCUACUUGUGUUAUAUUUACCUUGUCUUUCUGUACUGUGGAGACACAGGCACUCACAGGGCAUGGUGAUCCAAGCUUGCAAAUGGAAACAAGGUCUACAGCCUCGGUGAGGAAGCUGGCAUGGUGGGGUGUGUUAAGGCCCACAACAUAUUACAUGAUGAUGGAUUGAUGGGACCACAUCAAGGGGCCCUGAGAGCAAUGUGGCUCUUUGGGUAAGAGGAAAUGGCAGAAUCAGAGGAACAUCAUUAGUUAACCCACCCACAGUGCGGGAGAGACCUCAAAACCAACAAACAAUGGGUUAGAAGCUCACAGCUGGAGGUGGCAGCCCCAUAAUAACACCAGUGACAAAAAUCAAAGGAAUAAGAAGGAGCAGUUAACAUUUCCUCCACAAAUGCUAAAAACAGCACCAAAUAAUGUGUAUGAAUCAUCAUAUCUACUCUUACGCAAGCUGGAAUAAAAAUGUAAGAGUCAUGCAAACUGGGAUAAACUGUCACGCUCUGAGACAUAAUGCAUCUCCAGAAGUAAAGAAGAAACUGUUCCACAGGCAAGACUUGGCAUAAUUACACUCUGUGCGGGAUUUUGCACCUUUCUUUAAAGUAUCUGUGCUAACAACUGCCAGAGAUGACGUACCAAGCUGCAGAAGGCGUUUGGCUAACCUGCAGUGGCAGUGCCUAUCUCACUACUGGUUUAAUUCUGUCCCCCUUCCACUUUUUCACUACACACCCAUGCUACGAGACUGUAUGACAAAUGCCACUCAAAGGCAAGAGGUACACAUCCAGUAUUAGGUUUGUAAGGCAAUUAAAUUGUCCUUUUAAUGUUCUCUUAAUCACUGUGGUUUCUGUAGCGCCAUAUUAGAUACAUGUUGAAAUGAUGUCUUACUUCCACUGAUUAUACCAGUGUCCUUGUCUUUAAUGCAUUCACACUUCUGAAAGUUACUGCUCUUUUUGUCUUGUCUCCAGCUACAAUAUUCAGAAGACUAUGUUCUUAAAAGCAGCAAUUAGCACAUUGCAGUGGUACAGACGUCAACUAAUCCCCAUGGUGAUGAGAUCCCAAAGGCAAAGCAUGUGCUAACAAUCUGAACAAUACCAGGGAGCAUUUCUGGGCAUUGGGACUCAGUCAUCUAUAUUGCUAAAUUACCAGGAUCCCUCCAGGCACAUUUUCAGCCCAUCCUGACCACCAAUGUCAAACAGUCCCCAGUAUUGGAGUCAGCUUGGGACACUGACCAUUCCCCUCAAGCAGUUCGGAUGUGAUCACCCUCCCCUGGAGAGUUUCACAGUGCAGAUGAAAUGCAUCCCAUUCUGUGCCCAGGGGGCCUCCCUUCCAGAGGACAGCAAUAGAUGCAGUUAAUACAGUAAUGUUGAUAGCUGAGGUUCUCCCAUCUCAUAUUCACUUCUUGCUUUCAUUCCCUGUACUCAUGAAAUUCUUACUCUCGUCUGCCUUCUCUUCUGCUUUAUCACAUAGCGUGGUGUGAUGCCCAUGACUUAAGCAAGGAUAGCCAUCAUUCUUCGUGCUCCCCCAUAAGCAAGGUGUUUAGGGCUGCAGGACUCACAGGAUGCCCUGGGUUCUGGAUUUUCUUAUGUUUAGAAUCCCUUUCCUCAGAGCCAGGAACUACAGUGAUUUAGCAAACAGUGUGAUAUCUAAUAGCUAGCAAGCUGAGAGGUAUGGAACAGCCAACGGGGAAAGCCCUGCAAAAGAACAGAGUGAAUCCCAGAGCCACGGCUGGGUGCCUAUGGCUGCUACCUUUGGUGAAAACUGAUGGUGCCUGUCAUUUUGGGGGAUUAGGUUCUUGAACUAGCCCUGUCUUAGAGACUGUUAGGUAUAGAGGCAGGCCAGUAAAUGAUUUCUGGUUUCAGGAGUGGCUGGGGGGAUUAGUAUACACAUGUGUUUACAGCCUUGCAGUGGCAGUAGGUUGCCUAAAUGUUCUGUGGAUCAAACUACACAUCAGCCAGUGCUGAGAUUUACAGGGCUUCCUUGCAGUUCAGCUUAUUAUGGCCCAUGGUGCCUCACCACAGUUCUCCUGGCAAGUGUCUUAGCACGAAGAGCCAGACCAAGGUCAGGAUACUUCCAAAUUCAUCAAAAGGGGACUGGAAUUAACCACAGGCAGUGCAGGGCACUAUGUUGUCCCCAUGCAGCAGUAUCACAUUCCCCGUUGGGUCCCAUGUGUCAUCCAGAGCUGCUUGAUGUGCUGUGUUAUAAGCACAGGCUUUCUCUAUCCGAACCACACCAUAUGGGUGCCUCAUUCCUUUUACAUGCGGCUGCAGGUUUCCUGCUGCAUAUGCUCAGCCUCCCACAGCUGGAAGCAGUAAGAGGUAGUUUGAUCUACAUGUUAUACUCAGGAAGGAUUGAAGUUUGCAAAUUUUUAGCACUCUGCACGCUAGCAGGCCCAUAAUAAUCUUUAUUGGCGGGUUUGUUUGCUUUAUGGUUGCAAUUUUCAUCCUUCGAUGAGAAGCUUCCAGCACUUCCUGCAGGAGCAGAAGGCUAUUGUCACUUUAUCACUUCACAGUUGCAGAUCUCUGUCCACCACUCACUGGUCUGUGGUAAACAACAUCUCCAGCGUUGCUUCUGUCCGUCAAGGGAAAGGGUUGAGCUGGCAUUUUGCCACAUUUGGCAAGUGUGGGCUGAUACAAACGAUACGAGGUUUUUUUUAUAGUGCCUAUCACCAGAGUAUCAAAGCGCUGAAACACUGCUAGUCGUGUUUGCCUCCCCAUUGAUCUUAUCACCAAAGGCCAGUCCUACCAUCCGUCUUCCAUGUGGUAUUGCUUAGAGGCUUUGUUUUGUCAGAUAGGCUGCUCUGCAUCCAGUGCUGGGGUAGGCUCUAACUCUGGGAUCUGGUUCCAGGCUUUAAUUAGGACUGAUAGCAAAUGGGCUGUUCACAAAUGCUUUUUGCAAGAUGACUCCUGCACAGUCAGAAGCUCUCUUAAAUUCAUUUGUCUCAUGUAGUGAACUUUUCAUUGCUUUAAGAGGCCUACGGAUGCUGCAGGUGUUAAAACUGAGGUCAAAGUAUUCUACAUCAGGUGGAACCCACAUAGGCAACAUCCUAGAAACUAAUUUGUAAUAAGUCUGUGAUGUUCAGAACGAGAUGGUUCUGCCAAUCUGAGCUGACUGACUGUUUGUUCAUGAUCUAUAUAAUAGUUGCAUUAGACCUUUUAAAUUUCAAUAUAUUUUUAUGCUUUGGCACUCCCCAGACACAUUGAAAUAAAUCUUGUGCAUUUCUGCAUGUUGCAGCAACUGGGUAAGUGCUACUGUGGUCAGUUUUAAUAGGUAUUAAUACAGUAAGUAGCAAGCAAAUUAUAACUGUUUCACAUUAGACGUAAUUUUACAGCAGACAAUUUUAUAAGGAGAAUGGAAUGAAUCAAAUACAGUAGUUUGUAUUAAAAUAUCUUUUACAUUCCCUGUGUUCCAGUGGAACUGAUGACAAGUCUAAGGAAGCAUGCUAGGACAAACAGACCAGAAAAUUAAAUUCUUCUAGCUUUCAUAUGCCACAGCAGGAAUAAUUUGGCUUUUUUUUUCUUUCUUUCUCAGCCUUUCUUUCAAUUUUCUUUUUUGGAGAGAGGAUGACAAUGUAGUAUUACAUUUCCAAAUCCUAUAAAAAACCAUACAUUUUCAGUUUCAUACAACUAUGGUCUGGUUUAGUUCCUCUGGAUGGACUCUAAUGUGGUAUUCGUGAUAAUGUCAUUUACUUUGCAUGUGAAUAAAGCCAAAUGGUUACAGACAAGGCUUGAAUCUCAUAGCUCUGGAUCUUUGGGAAAUGUUUAUUCUCUCAAUUAAGCAUAUAUAUAUUUGCCAGAUGUACAAGGUCUCACAGCGUUUUUAUGUACACCCCAUGCUAAAAGAGUCUGUGCUCAAGCUCUAGAUCCCACUGAAUGCAGAGCACUUCAACAUGUGGGUGUCUUUGCACUGAGGCAUUGGCUGCUUUGAUCUCAGUGUUCUUCGUGAGUCAGGAGAUCACUGUGAAGGCUCUGAGGGACUUCGUGUCUGCUGGCAUCAGUGGGGCAUCCAGAUCAGAUCUUCCUUAGUAAGAUGGGAGCUUAUUCAGCCUGAUUUUCACUGUCCAAAGGUGGAGUGCCUUGCCUCGACUAGCUAUGAUCAAUAUGGAGAGAGACACACCUAUCAGGGAGCCAUUUAUUUCAUGCUUAUGUAUGAGAUAAUCAGUCUUAUUCAAGACCAGUGGGAGAACUGGCUCCUGUCUGUAUAUCACCUGUAAGGAGAGCCCAAACAACAGGCUUGGCUAGGUGACUACCAUUCAGAUAGCUGUGCUAUAGGGCUAAGAUACAGACAGGCUGCCACCUGGGUGGAGACAACCAUCUACAUGUGAUGCAUGUGGUGAUGGAAGUCACCAUGUUCUCAAGCCCUUUCUUUACCUUGGAGCAGACACAGCACUGGUCAUAAAUCAGCAGUAAAUAAAAUGCUAAAACUUAACAAGUUGAAAAGAAUAAUCAACUCAUGCUUACAUAGGAGUUACAUGAAAACUUCCUAAAAAUAUUUGCGUUAUGAAUCUGUCUAUCCCUGGUCUAGAGAGGUUCCAGCAGUC
ensembl:lncRNA